UACGUAGGGUGCAGGCGUUAAUCGGAAUUACUGGGCGUAAAGCGUGCGCGGGCGGUUUGCUAAGACAGGUGUGAAAUCCCCGGGCUUAACCUGGGAACUGCGCUUGUAACUGGCAAGCUUGAGUGUGGCAGAGGGGGGGUGGAAUUCCACGUGUAGCAGUGAAAUGCGUAGAGAUGUGGAGGAACACCGAUGGCGAAGGCAGCCCCCCUGGGCUAACACUGACGCUCAUGCACGAAAGCGUGGGGAGCAAACAGG
rnacentral:rRNA from 1 species